GACGAACGCUGGCGGCGUGCUUAACACAUGCAAGUCGAACGGAAAGGCCCUGCUUGCAGGGUACUCGAGUGGCGAACGGGUGAGUAACACUUGGGUGAUCUGCCCUGCACUUCGGGAUAAGCCUGGGAAACUGGGUCUAAUACCGGAUAGGAGCCAUUUUUAGUGUGAUGGUUGGAAAGUUUUUUCGGUGUAGGAUGAGCUCGCGGCCUAUCAGCUUGUUGGUGAGGUAAUGGCCUACCAAGGCGGCGACGGGUAGCCGGCCUGAGAGGGUGGACGGCCACAUUGGGACUGAGAUACGGCCCAGACUCCUACGGGAGGCAGCAGUGGGGAAUAUUGCACAAUGGGCGCAAGCCUGAUGCAGCGACGCCGCGUGGGGGAUGACGGCCUUCGGGUUGUAAACUCCUUUCGCUAGGGACGAAGCUUUUGUGACGGUACCUAGAUAAGAAGCACCGGCUAACUACGUG
rnacentral:rRNA from 1 species